UGCAGUCGAGCGGACGGAUGGGAGCUUGCUCCCUGAAGUCAGCGGCGGACGGGUGAGUAACACGUGGGCAACCUGCCUGUAAGACUGGGAUAACUCCGGGAAACCGGGGCUAAUACCGGAUAACUCUUUUCCUCACAUGAGGAAAAGCUGAAAGAUGGUUUCGGCUAUCACUUACAGAUGGGCCCGCGGCGCAUUAGCUAGUUGGUGAGGUAACGGCUCACCAAGGCCACGAUGCGUAGCCGACCUGAGAGGGUGAUCGGCCACACUGGGACUGAGACACGGCCCAGACUCCUACGGGAGGCAGCAGUAGGGAAUCUUCCGCAAUGGACGAAAGUCUGACGGAGCAACGCCGCGUGAGUGAUGAAGGUUUUCGGAUCGUAAAACUCUGUUGUCAGGGAAGAACAAGUACCGGAGUAACUGCCGGUACCUUGACGGUACCUGACCAGAAAGCCACGGCUAACUACGUGCCAGCAGCCGCGGUAAUACGUAGGUGGCAAGCGUUGUCCGGAAUUAUUGGGCGUAAAGCGCGCGCAGGCGGUUCCUUAAGUCUGAUGUGAAAGCCCCCGGCUCAACCGGGGAGGGUCAUUGGAAACUGGGGAACUUGAGUGCAGAAGAGAAGAGUGGAAUUCCACGUGUAGCGGUGAAAUGCGUAGAGAUGUGGAGGAACACCAGUGGCGAAGGCGACUCUUUGGUCUGUAACUGACGCUGAGGCGCGAA
rnacentral:rRNA from 2 species